rnacentral:lncRNA from 12 species
CGGAGCAGGUGCUGUAUCCUGGCCCGAGGUUGUGGCUUCCAGGGCAGGAGGCGGAGAGAAUUCUGCGGGAGCAAUGGCCCCAGAGUGGGUGCCAGUGACACACUGCAGCGAAGGACCUCGACAGGAUGGAGUGUGCCCUUCGCCCGAGGAUCAGGCGCUGGGGUCGUCUAAGCAAUUAUGCAGCGUGGCUGUCACCCGACUCAGAGACUCCGACAGCACUGGUGGGAACCGUGUGGAUGUGUCCCUCUGCGCACUGGACCAGGUCCCGUUUGCAGGAGCUUGCAUGGAUCGGCCACUGCCCCGUUGCUCUCGAGGACUGCUUCUUUAAUGUGAUCCCAACCUUCGCUGGCACCGUUGGAGCGACAGCCCUGUGUUGCAGGUGGCCACACUCCCUACGACGGGCAUCUUCAUGCCGUUGAACUUUCCCGAACUCCCAGAGAUGAGUAUUGAAAAGCCACCUAUGCCAUGAACUUCUUCCUGUUUUUUGUUUUGUUUUGUUUUAAAGAAAGAAAAACAGGCUAUCUUCAGCAUGGGGAUUUGUUUUAUGGUAUCGCUUUCUAAGUCUUACAUAGGAGAAAACCUCUUUCUGUGGAAUAAAUCUUAACUACAGUGUUGGAAAGCCA